rnacentral:rRNA from 1 species
GACGAACGCUGGCGGCGUGCUUAACACAUGCAAGUCGAACGCUGAAGCUCAGCUUUUGUUGGGUGGAUGAGUGGCGAACGGGUGAGUAACACGUGAGUAACCUGCCUCCUUCUUUGGGAUAACGCCCGGAAACGGGUGCUAAUACUGGAUAUUCACUGGUCUUCGCAUGGGGGCUGGUGGUAAUGGGUUUUUUGGCGGGGGAUGGGCUCGCGGCCUAUUAGCUUGUUGGUGGGGUGAUGGCCUACCAAGGCUUUGACGGGUAGCCGGCCUGAGAGGGUGACCGGUAACAUUGGGACUGAGAUACGGCCCAGACUCCUACGGGAGGCAGCAGUGGGGAAUAUUGCACAAUGGGCGAAAGACUGAUGCAGCGACGCCGCGUGAGGGAUGGAGGCCUUCGGGUUGUGAACCUCUUUCGCUCAUGGUCAAGCCGCAACAAUGGUUGUGGUGAGGGUAGUGGGUAAAGAAGCGCCGGCUAACUACGUG